AUGCCACUCCGACGUGAAGAUAAGGGUAAGACUCCAGUAGAUAAGUCUCGUCACAGUCGAUCGAGGUGUAUUAUAGAAGAGGUUCCUGACACGACUGACCUUAUUUCUAUGCCACAAUCGAGUCAACAACCACAUCGUCCUCUUAUGAAUCCCACUCCACCAUUAAUGCAUCCUACUCUACCACAUAUGCAUCCCACUCCACCAUCUAUGCUUCCCACUCCACCAUAG